GAGCGUACUUCGAGGCCAUGUUUGAGACUGGCACUUCCUCGGCGCGUCUGUGGCCGCCAUGUUUGAAGCGGGUGGCGGCCGCGUCUCAAGGCGCCCCAGCCGGGCCACGGCGAAGCGCAGGCGGCCUCGUCAGAAGCAUUAAGGCCUCCGGUUAGACUGCAGCGGUUGGGAGUGAGCUGCCCCAGGGCCCCCCGCAUCUUCUGUAGCGGAGGUGCGAUGCACACGCGGGUCGAAGGCAGCAGUGCUCCCUGCUCUUUUCAGUGCAUUAAAGACGCGAGUCCGUGAGGACCCUGCGGGCUCCUUUCCUCCUAAGAGACGCUUUCUAGGUGUGCAGUGAGUCCCUGGGGUCAGCUGGGCUGGAUUUCCCUUUGGGCGGAGCGUGGACACUCACAUGCUUGGCUGCACCUGGUCUCCAGCCCCGUCCUUCUCGCCAAACUUUCCCCCACCAGGUGCAUGGAAGGGAAAUGACAGGUGUGUGACCGGCAGGAAAUCCAUUCGAAGGGAAAUUAAUGUGACUGCUGCCAGGUCUUAAAAACCAGCGGGGUGCUCUGUCACACACCGAACCUGUCCGCCUACUGGUCGCUUCCAUAGUUUGAUUCAGGCGUCUUUCUGGAGUCCUUCAGAAGCUCACAAGCCAGGGAGGGGGUGACUGCCACAGCCAGUUUCCACCCUACUGUUGGCAGGUGGAGUCAGGGCACCAUGUGAUCUUGUGAUGGGUGUUCUGGCCUUUCUGAGCCACCGAGGUUGACAUCCCUAGGACUCUUGGUCCUUCUUCACAGCUGCCCCCUGCCCUUCCAGGAUGAGGGGCACCACGAGGGCAUCGUCUUCAUGGCCGCACAGGAUGCUUGUGCAGUGCUCGUGUGGGGUGGCACUCCCACACGGACUGUAACCCCCGAAGGCACGGCCUGGCACAGGGCCUGCCCUUCUGGUGGACCCCCCGCUGACGUUUGUGGAAUGGGCUGUGGGGGGAUGAUGCAUUAGAGACCUGGGACUGCAGGUUCCAGGGAGCUGGGUACUCUCCUACACCACAGAGUCGCUGCUUAACCACCACGCGUCCACAGCUCCGUGUUUGCCUUCAACAAACACGUGAGGCUGAUGAGAAGUUGAAGAGGAUUUCCAACUGAUUAGCAGUCAGGAGACCCAUUAACCAAGGCCACCCGGCCAGAGCACAUCUCAUUACCGCAAGAGACGGUGGCCUCUGUGAUAAGGAAUGAUCAUUUCCUGCAUCUGACCCUUUAUGUCUUAAAGAACCACGUUAAAGAAAAGCAGAGGAGGAAACAAGGGGGAAAAAUAAAACAACCUGCUUUAAAAUGUCCUCUGAUAAAGUUUCUGGUGGCCACCUUCCCCUUCCUCCUGGCUCCGCUGCGCAGUAAUAGCCAGGAGUAGGGUGGCAUCUGCUGUUGGCAAGCCUUCAUUCCUCAGUGGCUCCCACACAAGUUCACCCAGGUCCUGCCAGAUGUGAGGAGGUGGAAGGAGGAUGUGUGAGAUGGGACCUGGUGGGCACCUGAGCCAGUGCCAAGCAGGAGACAGUCUGUAGUGUCAGGUUGGUCAAGAAGAGCGUCGGGAGGCACUGAGUUGGGCUUCACGCUCUCUGCGGGCUGACAGUUCCUGCAGAGAUGGAGGGGAGGGUAGGGGAGCGGGGGUCCUAGACAUGGGCAGUGGGAACCCCAGUGCCUUGUAGGGCUCUCACUGGGGCUAAACAUUCUGGGAGUUUGGGGAGCUUACUUUGUAGACUGAUCAAUAGUCUGUGACAUUAAUAUGUUUGAGUACAGAAACCAUUUUCUGCUUCAAAUAUCCCCCAACCUCCUGGGAUUAGGGUGCAGCUGUGGGUUGAUUAUACCUGCUCCUUUUCAGCAAGACUGGGAUGGGUUGUGGCCUGACUUGUGGACCUGUGUGACACUGCUCCAAGCUCACGGCCUGUUCCCAUCUCAUCUUGGUCUGUUGGCAGGAACUUGGAGCAUUCCUUAUUCAUGUUUUCUUGUUCAUUUGUCUUUUCAUUCUUGGCUUCUGUCUUUUAUAUGCAAUUAAUCGUGUGUGUUUGAAAAGUCUAAUUGUGCUUCUGUUUUUAUUGAUAGCAACUC